GCAUAUCAAUAAGCGGAGGAAAAAGAAACCAACAGGGAUUGCCCUAGUAACGGCGAGUGAAGCGGCAACAGCUCAAAUUUGAAAUCUGGCGUCUUUGGCGUCCGAGUUGUAAUUUGCAGAGGGCGCUUUGGCAUUGGCAGCGGUCCAAGUUCCUUGGAACAGGACGUCACAGAGGGUGAGAAUCCCGUACGUGGUCGCUAGCCUUUACCGUGUAAAGCCCCUUCGACGAGUCGAGUUGUUUGGGAAUGCAGCUCUAAAUGGGAGGUAAAUUUCUUCUAAAGCUAAAUACUGGCCAGAGACCGAUAGCGCACAAGUAGAGUGAUCGAAAGAUGAAAAGCACUUUGGAAAGAGAGUUAAAAAGCACGUGAAAUUGUUGAAAGGGAAGCGCUUGCAGCCAGACUUGCCUGUAGUUGCUCAUCCGGGUUUCUACCCGGUGCACUCUUCUACGGGCAGGCCAGCAUCAGUUUGGGCGGUUGGAUAAAGGUCUCUGUCAUGUACCUCCCUUCGGGGAGAUCUUAUAGGGGAGACGACAUGCAACCAGCCUGGACUGAGGUCCGCGCAUCUGCUAGGAUGCUGGCGUAAUGGCUGUAAGCGGCCCGUCUUGAAACACGGACCAAGGAGUCUAACAUCUAUGCGAGUGUUUGGGUGUCAAGCCCGAGCGCGUAAUGAAAGUGAACGGAGGUGGGAACCUUUCGGGGUGCACCAUCGACCGAUCCUGAUGUCUUCGGAUGGAUUUGAGUAAGAGCAUAGCUGUUGGGACCCGAAAGAUGGUGAACUAUGCUUGAAUAGGGUGAAGCCAGAGGAAACUCUGGUGGAGGCUCGCAGCGGUUCUGACGUGCAAAUCGAUCGUCAAAUUUGGGCAUAGGGGCGAAAGACUAAUCGAACUAUCUAGUAGCUGGUUCCUGCCGAAGU
rnacentral:rRNA from 1 species